rnacentral:lncRNA from 1 species
GCGCGUCAAUCUGUUGCAGCCAACUCUCUGUCGUCUGUCGCUGGUGAUGAGCACUUACAAAAUAAUAUCCUCACAGACCGGAGUUGUAUCCGAUGGGGACCCUCCGAUGCUUAAGUCAGAGAAAAAAUUAGUGAACAGUAGAUUUGAAUGUCGAAAGUAGCAGAGCUCUGACUCAGAAGUGUCUUACUGGUGCUGUUCACUUAUCUCUCUUUUAUAGGUGAUUCUGAUGUAACCGUCGAGCACGUGAUCUCAUUUUUUAUGGUACUAAAUUAUCGGACCAUAAUUGUGGAGUUAGUGGGUUGUUAAUUCUCACUAAUUGCUAUGAUACAUAGUUG